UUUGAUCCUGGCUCAGGACGAACGCUGGCGGCGUGCUUAACACAUGCAAGUCGAACGAUGAAGCCUUUCGGGGUGGAUUAGUGGCGAACGGGUGAGUAACACGUGGGCAAUCUGCCCUUCACUCUGGGACAAGCCCUGGAAACGGGGUCUAAUACCGGAUAACACUCUGUCCCGCAUGGGACGGGGUUAAAAGCUCCGGCGGUGAAGGAUGAGCCCGCGGCCUAUCAGCUUGUUGGUGGGGUGAUGGCCUACCAAGGCGACGACGGGUAGCCGGCCUGAGAGGGCGACCGGCCACACUGGGACUGAGACACGGCCCAGACUCCUACGGGAGGCAGCAGUGGGGAAUAUUGCACAAUGGGCGAAAGCCUGAUGCAGCGACGCCGCGUGAGGGAUGACGGCCUUCGGGUUGUAAACCUCUUUCAGCAGGAAGAAGCGAAA
rnacentral:rRNA from 1 species